rnacentral:rRNA from 1 species
UACGGAGGGGGCAAGCGUUGUUCGGAAUUACUGGGCGUAAAGGGCGCGCAGGCGGCUGCUCAAGUCAGGCGUGAAAAGGCCUGGGCUCAACCCGGGGAAUUUGCGCUUGAGACUGGGGCUGGCUUGAGUGCGGGGAGAGGAUGGUGGAAUUCCCAGUGUAGAGGUGAAAAUUUCGUAGAUAUUUGGGGAAAGAACACCGGUGGC